CCUACGGGCGGCUGCAGUAAGGAAUAUUGGUCAAUGGAGGAAACUCUGAACCAGCCAUCCCGCGUGAAGGAUGAAGGGGCUCUGCCUUGUAAACUUCUUUUGUCUGGGGCGAAAAAGCUCGAUUUAUCGAGAACUGACGGUACCAGAAGAAUAAGCACCGGCUAACUCCGUGCCAGCAGCCGCGGUAAUACGGAGGGUGCAAGCGUCAUCCGGAAUCACUGGGUUGUAGGGGUCCGUGGGCGUCAGAGUUGAAAGGCUGUGGCUUAACCAUGGAAUGGACAUUGAUACUGCAGAGCUUGAAUGAGGUUGAGGUUGGCGGAAUGUGACAUGUAGCGGUGAAAUGCUUAGAGAUGUCAUGGAACACCGAUUGCGAAGGCAGCUGACUGGACCUAUAUUGACGCUGAGGCACGAAAGCGUGGGGAGCGAACAGGAUUAGAUACCCCUGUAGUC
rnacentral:rRNA from 1 species